GAUGAACGCUGGCGGCGUGCUUAACACAUGCAAGUCGAACGAUGAUCCCAGCUUGCUGGGGGAUUAGUGGCGAACGGGUGAGUAACACGUGAGUAACCUGCCCUUAACUCUGGGAUAAGCCUGGGAAACUGGGUCUAAUACCGGAUAUGACUCCUCAUCGCAUGGUGGGGGGUGGAAAGCUUUUUGUGGUUUUGGAUGGA
rnacentral:rRNA from 1 species